AUUGAACGCUGGCGGCAGGCCUAACACAUGCAAGUCGAACGGUAACAGGAAGCAGCUUGCUGCUUCGCUGACGAGUGGCGGACGGGUGAGUAAUGUCUGGGAAGCUGCCUGAUGGAGGGGGAUAACUACUGGAAACGGUAGCUAAUACCGCAUAAUGUCGCAAGACCAAAGAGGGGGACCUUCGGGCCUCUUGCCACCGGAUGUGCCCAGAUGGGAUUAGCUUGUUGGUGGGGUAACGGCUCACCAAGGCGACGAUCCCUAGCUGGUCUGAGAGGAUGACCAGCCACACUGGAACUGAGACACGGUCCAGACUCCUACGGGAGGCAGCAGUGGGGAAUAUUGCACAAUGGGCGCAAGCCUGAUGCAGCCAUGCCGCGUGUAUGAAGAAGGCCUUCGGGUUGUAAAGUACUUUCAGCGGGGAGGAGGGGAGUAAAGUUAAUACCUUUGCUCAUUGACGUUACCCGCAGAAGAAGCACCGGCUAACUCCGUG
rnacentral:rRNA from 1 species